rnacentral:rRNA from 1 species
UUGAAAGGGAAACGAUUGAAGUCAGUCGUACCAGCGGGAAAAUCAACCUUUCGAGUGGGGUUUUGGAGUUUUUGAAGAGUGUCAAAACCUUUGAGNNUNNNNAAUUUUCGCUCCUUUGGUGUACUUUUCUCGUGGGUAGGUUAACAUCGAUUUCGAUCAUCAUAAAAAGACUGGAGGAAUGUAGCUUCGAUCUUGUAUUGAAGUGUUAUAGGCCUUUGGUAAAUGUGAUGAUUAGGAUCGAGGAUUGCAACGAAUACCCUUUUGGGCUAUCCGCCUGAUCUCUGAUACGUGGCCUUGGUAUCGAAAGCUUGCUUAUGGUAUUGAGGUAUUACGGUCAAAAGGUUAGAACGGAUUCAUUCGUUAAGGAUGUUGACGUA